GCGGGGGGCUACCAUGCAGUCGAAGGUGAACUCCGCUUGCGGGGGGAUCAGUGGCGAACGGGUGAGUAACACGUGGGCAACCUGCCCUCAGCUCUGGGAUAACUCCAAGAAAUUGGGGCUAAUACUGGAUAUGACUGCUGACCGCAUGGUCUGGUGGUGGAAAGAUUUAUCGGCUGGGGAUGGGCCCGCGGCCUAUCAGCUUGUUGGUGGGGUAGUGGCCUACCAAGGCGACGACGGGUAGCCGGCCUGAGAGGGUGACCGGCCACACUGGGACUGAGACACGGCCCAGACUCCUACGGGAGGCAGCAGUGGGGAAUAUUGCGCAAUGGGCGAAAGCCUGACGCAGCGACGCCGCGUGGGGGAUGACGGCCUUCGGGUUGUAAACCUCUUUCAGCAGGGACGAAGCGCAAGUGACGGUACCUGCAGAAGAAGCACCGGCCAACUACGUGCCAGCAGCCGCGGUAAUACGUAGGGUGCAAGCGUUGUCCGGAAUUAUUGGGCGUAAAGAGCUCGUAGGCGGUUUGUUGCGUCGGCUGUGAAAUCCCGAGGCUCAACCUCGGGUCUGCAGUCGAUACGAGCAAACUAGAGUGUUGCAGGGGAGACUGGAAUUCCUGGUGUAGCGGUGAAAUGCGCAGAUAUCAGGAGGAACACCGGUGGCGAAGGCGGGUCUCUGGGCAACAACUGACGCUGAGGAGCGAAAGCGUGGGGAGCGAACAGGAUUAGAUACCCUGGUAGUCCACGCCGUANACGUUGGGCGCUAGGUGUGGGGCUCAUUCCACGAGUUCCGUGCCGCAGCUAACGCAUUAAGCGCCCCGCCUGGGGAGUACGGCCGNCAGGCUAAAACUCAAAGGAA
rnacentral:rRNA from 1 species